UACAGAGGGUGCGAGCGUUAAUCGGAAUUACUGGGCGUAAAGCGCACGUAGUCGGCUUUGCAAGUCGGGUGUGAAAUCCCCGGGCUCAACCUGGGAACUGCAUCCGAGACUGCAUUGCUAGAGUAUGGGAGAGGGAAGCGGAAUUUCUGGUGUAGCAGUGAAAUGCGUAGAUAUCAGAAGGAACAUCAGUGGCGAAGGCGGCUUCCUGG
rnacentral:rRNA from 1 species